CAGUCGCCGCGGGAAUACGGAGGGUGCAAGCGUUAAUCGGAAUUACUGGGCGUAAAGCGCACGCAGGCGGUCUGACAAGUCAGAUGUGAAAUCCCCGGGCUUAACCUGGGAACUGCAUUUGAAACUGUCAGGCUGGAGUCUUGUAGAGGGGGGUGGAAUUCCAGGUGUAGCGGUGAAAUGCGUAGAGAUCUGGAGGAAUACCGGUGGCGAAGGCGACCCCCUGGACAAAGACUGACGCUCAGGUGCGAAAGCGUGGGGAGCAAACAGGAUUAGAUACCCCGGUAGUCCCUGUCUCUUAUAC
rnacentral:rRNA from 1 species